rnacentral:rRNA from 1 species
GAUGAACGCUGGCGGCGUGCCUAAUACAUGCAAGUCGAGCGAACAGACGAGGAGCUUGCUCCUCUGACGUUAGCGGCGGACGGGUGAGUAACACGUGGAUAACCUACCUAUAAGACUGGGAUAACUUCGGGAAACCGGAGCUAAUACCGGAUAAUAUAUUGAACCGCAUGGUUCAAUAGUGAAAGACGGUUUUGCUGUCACUUAUAGAUGGAUCCGCGCCGCAUUAGCUAGUUGGUAAGGUAACGGCUUACCAAGGCGACGAUGCGUAGCCGACCUGAGAGGGGGAUCGGCCACACUGGAACUGAGACACGGUCCAGACCCCUACGGGAGGCAGCAGUAGGGAAUCUUCCGCAAUGGGCGAAAGCCUGACGGAGCAACGCCGCGUGAGUGAUGAAGGUCUUCGGAUCGUAAAACUCUGUUAUUAGGGAAGAACAAAUGUGUAAGUAACUAUGCACGUCUUGACGGUACCUAAUCAGAAAGCCACGGCUAACUACGU